CUUCAGGCCAUUGCCACAGAUCAAGCAGUACCAGUACUUCAGCUUCGAUGCUCUGGAGCCUGCUGUUGUUGUCGCCACGGAGCUUCUGGACCCAGUCAGGACCAGGUUUCAACUGCUGCGCAACGCUGACAUCCUUCCUCCCAUAGAUGGUCUGCCUGUACAAGCACCACCUGGACUAGAUACAGCUAGACAAAUGUAUAUUUUUGAGAAGAUCAGGGAGUUUUGGACGAAGAGGCUAUGGACAUCACAUGCCCUGCACCAAAGUCAAGGGCAGGACAGAAAAAGGCUCUUCAAAUAUAGAUUCCCUUGUUCAUGCGUGGUUCGGACGGACCAGUUUAUCACUGGGAGCGAGUUUCCAGUCAUCAGCACAAUCUGCAGUGUCUUUAUUCACAUGACUCUCCUAACACACACAAUACGUUGCUGCUACUAUUAUUUAUUUUAUUAACCUGCUGCUCAGCCACUUUACCCCUGAUUGUAUGCAUAUAACUCACUCAUCUAUCACUGAUAUCAUUAUUGAUAUUAUUCUUGUACUACUGUAUAUUAUUUUGUUAUUUCUCUACUGGCAUUGACACUUUAUUGACAUGGUCUAUUUUUGAUAUUGCUACUAUGCAAGUAACCAUUUGGCUGUACCGUUUACACCUUCGGUAGAGACCCAUCCACUUGGCAAGAUGUGGCUCGUGGUUACAGCAUUUCUUUCACAUGACCCAUCAAUUUAGACAAGUGUGUCUGGGUAAGGCGUCAGCUAAUAUUUAUAAAAUAUUUUUUUUAUCUGG